AGUUUUAGAUUUUUUUUUUAAUUAUUAAAGUCAUGUCAUGUCAGCAAUAACAUAUAAAAUAACAAUAUGUUUGCCACGUCAACUGAAACGUAAGCAAGAACAUAAAAGUUCAUGCCACAUCAACUGCCAAGUCAACAACAAUAUAUUAAAAAAAUAAUACUUUUGUCACAACAGCGCUCCCAAAUCUCUAAUUUUGACCAGACCAUAACAAAUACUAAACUUUCAAAUUAGGCUAAAAUUGAAAAAAAAAUUGCUAUAAUUGCAAAAACACGUUAUGUUUUUUAAUUUUGAUAAAAUUUGGCCUAUUAUAAAUUAGUCUAAGAGGACAUAUUAUCUAAAUGAGUCCCAAUCAAAAGAGCCCCAUUCUCCUGCAGAUGGCUGUUGCUUACUUCAUUUCUUUUUAUCUUUCUUCCUCUAUUACACAUUUCUGAAGAUUUAA
rnacentral:misc_RNA from 1 species